CUGCUUUCGCGCCGUUAGCGCCGUUCCCCCCGUCGGGUCGCCAUCUUUUGUUUCCCGAAGGAAGAAAACAAAGCGAGGAAAGUUUGCGGUAGGGAGCACGACCGUGGCUACCAAGACGGCUGACGGCGCAGUACCCGAGGCGUUUGGCGGGCCCGAUAGUAAACGAACAUAACGGGAUGAUCUGUGGACUGCCCACGAGUACGCACUCAGCAUUGAUGGCAGGCUCAUGGUUCAGAAGAUACCAGACGUCCCUACGGCAUAGGCUGCGCACUCUUUGCGAGUCACUAUUGCUUUAACAUCUGCUACGCUGAAGGCCUGUCAUCGACCCUUGAGUUCCUUCAGAGAGGUUUCCUGAGCAUGAACCCUGACCGUGGCACCAGAGCCAAGCGCUCCAAGUCAGAAGUGAGCAAGAAAGUACUUAACCUGGUCAAGAAAAUAGCAGAGCUGGAGUGGAAUGUGUGAGGCUGUCGGUCAUCCUAUGUGGGAACGAGGCAUGCAACAUGGAGCUCGAGCUCAUUCAACACAAGGUCUUGGCACCAGGAAGAUUUCAGCAGCCAUAAGCAAUGGCACUUGGGUCUAAAUUUGAUCAGAGGGUAUAUGGACCUGGGUCCUCAUCAUCCAAGUAAAUAAAUGUUCUGUUUUUAUUUCUAUCCUACA